AUUGGUCAGCUGGUAGACAGGUAAUGGAUCUGUGAGGUGGCGACUGCAGGCAGAGAGAGAGAGGCUGUCUGAGAUUGACACUACCCUUCAUAACUAUACUUCUUAAUUCCUCUUAGCUCAGUUGUUUUCCUUGCUUCUUGGCAAAAACAUGGCAAUAACGAGCCUCUCUGGAUGAUUCCCUGGAGACUUGCUAAUUACUCUGGAGCAAGAUAAUGCAUUACAGUUGCUGCUAAGAUGCCAGAGAAGUAGUACGGUGGGCAGCCCUCCCAUGGUGCCCACAAGUCCUUACUACAUCUUUGCCAUGACGUGACAUCCUAAUGACUAUAUUGAAAGGUUUUAUGCUCUAGAAAGACAGAUUUCAACAUCAAGGAAACAUACAUUUUUGAAAUCUCUUUCAAUUACCUACUGAAAUAUUCUGAGUUCCCAACUCUCUCAUGUAGGUAAGUUUUGUGACUUCUC
rnacentral:lncRNA from 1 species